UGGGUCGGAGUCGGCGGCGCGGAGUCGCUUACUGUACCAGUACCUCUCUCCCUCCGAGGACGCAGCUCAGCCACUCCAGGAAGCACGACAUCUAAUAACAUAAACUCAGAGUGCUCCCCACAUUCAUCUUCUACACAGACCCGCCUGUCCUGUCAGGACUCCAGUGCUUCGUGACUGUCCUCAUGCUCCGGAGGGCUGCGUGGUCACCCUUCCAGUUGCUUUUUGAACCCAUCCCAAGCUUGUGUCAGAAGUGCGGGUGAUGGAUUCCCCGUGCCAUCAACGUGAGCCAUGGAUUAGAAUAUAGCACACAUUUACGCCGCAUGGGCUGGUAAACAACACAGCGUGUACUCGACUUCAUAAACACGCUGCCUUGUUACAAAGGCCACUGCAAACGCAGUGUGAUAGGACUUGACCUUAAAAGCUAUCGACAAUCUAGCCCAGCACAGACGGUUUCGUGGAGUACAAUCACUUCCUGGAAUUCUUGGGCCAGCGAAGUCGGAGCCGAGCAAAUCCUGUUUUCCUUGCAUUGUUUCCUGCAUGUGAAUACCAUCAGUCUAGCAGGUCAUCAACACUGAUGGUGACUAGUGAUUGUCAACUUGGCAGAAGUAGACUCGUCGAGUGGACAAAUCUCUGAGGAUGCCUAUGAGGGGUUAUCUAGAUUGUGUUAAUUGAGGUAAGAAGACUCACCUUAACUGUGAAUGGGACAGUUGCAUGAAUUGUGGUCCUGGACUGAAUAAAAUGGAGAAAGCAAACUGAACGCCAUGUCUAUGCACCAUGGCUGUGGAUGCUCUGCGAACUGUAGUUUUGAUGCCAUGAUUUCCCCAGCCACAUGGACUAUAUCCUCAGGCUGUGAACCAAAACAAACCCUUUCUCCACUAA